rnacentral:rRNA from 1 species
GAUGAACGCUGGCGGCGUGCCUAAUACAUGCAAGUCGAGCGAACAGACGAGGAGCUUGCUCCUCUGACGUUAGCGGCGGACGGGUGAGUAACACGUGGAUAACCUACCUAUAAGACUGGGAUAACUUCGGGAAACCGGAGCUAAUACCGGAUAAUAUAUUGAACCGCAUGGUUCAAUAGUGAAAGACGGUUUUGCUGUUACUUAUAGAUGGAUCCGCGCCGCAUUAGCUAGUUGGUAAGGUAACGGCUUACCAAGGCGACGAUGCGUAGCCGACCUGAGAGGGUGAUCGGCCACACUGGAACUGAGACACGGUCCAGACUCCUACGGGAGGCAGCAGUAGGGAAUCUUCCGCAAUGGGCGAAAGCCUGACGGAGCAACACCGCGUGAGUGAUGAAGGUCUUCGGAUCGUAAAGCUCUGUUAUUAGGGAAGAACAAAUGUGUAAGUAACUAUGCACGUCUUGACGGUACCUAAUCAGAAAGCCACGGCUAACUACGUG